GGGUUUCGGAGCUUGCCGGGAAACCUGGAGGCUGGCCCGCCUGUGGAGGCCGGGAGGGUCGGGGCAGGCCCCGCCCAUCAUUUCAGUGCGUGGUGCCCUCGAAGCGCCCGCGGAGCUACGGGAGGCUAGACAGAAGCCUGAGGCCGGGGUGCUAGAGAACCUUGCCGUGCUGGAAUUCACGUUGAUGCCCCCACGGAGCUCUGCUGCAGAGCCCGCGAGUCCCGCACUUCCGGCCGCCAGGUGGCGCUGGUUCUGUUGCCAACUCGGAGAGACUGAGCUGGGCCACGCAAGAUGGCGCCGUCCGCCUUGCUGCGUCCCGUCUCCCGGCUGCUGGCCCCCGCCAGGCUCCCGAGUGGCCCUUCAGCGCGAUCAAAGUUCUACGUGCGAGAGCCGCUGAAUGCCAAACCUGACUGGCUGAAAGUUGGGUUCACCUUGGGCACCACCGUCUUCUUGUGGGUCUAUCUCAUCAAACAACACAAUGAAGAUAUUUUAGAGUACAAAAGAAGAAAUGGGCUGGAAUAAACUUUUGAAAUACUAAUGUAGUAUGCUCCGUAUAGUGAUGGUAGCUGUUCCUCUGGAUUCACCAUCUGUUGAGUUGUAAAUGUGAGAGAAAAAGUUAUAUGUGAAUAUAUAUUGUCAGCAUUUGUAUUUUGCAUCAUUAAAUAAAAAGAAAUAAAAAU
rnacentral:sRNA from 1 species